UCCACCAGUUGGUUCACUCCCCAAAUGGCCACAAGGGCCAGGGCUGGGCCAGGCUGAAGUUAGGAGCCAGGAGCUUCUUCUGAGUCUCCUACAUAGUUGCAGGGCCCCAAGAACUUGAGCCAUCCUCCACUGCUUUCCCAGGCACAUUAGCAGGGAGCUGGAUCACUAGAGGAGCAGCCAGGGCUUGAACCAGUGCCCAUAUGGAAUGAGGGUAUUACAAACAGUGGCUUAACCCAUUAUGCCACAGUGCUGGCCUCUAAGCAUCUUUUUUAAGAAAAUCUGACUUUAAAAAACAAUCUGACUUAUGCCAAAUCCUAUUUAUGAAGUGGGUUUUUAAGUCAUUUAAAGAGCACCCUAGGCUUUCAAAAGAUGUUUGUUUUAAAGAGUACAGUUGGCCUUUGGCCAAAAAAUAAAGUUUCAGUAAUGCACAGUAACCAUUGUAGCAUAAUUAGUGGCCAUGAAAUACCAGGUGCCCAAUCAAGCCUUUUCUACCCAUUUAAGAUGGAGCCAAGUCAAGCAAAAAUGCCCUGCCUAGCCAUACCCAGGAGUUCAAAAGCCCAGCCUUUGUCAUCAGGAAAGAAUUAAUUCAAAGAGCAAGGGCAUUAUUAGGCACAAGCAGGCAUUCUGUUGUAAAUACCUUUUGUUAAUACACGUUGAGAGCUAAACUUUCUCACAUUUGAAAGAGGCCCUGAGAGAGGGUUUAAGCAAGCCAGAAUCAAGGUUGUUUUCUUUUUCCCAUUUCUGACAGCAUAUCUGUGGGAUCCUCACUGUGAAGAGUGCUAGGCUCGGAGUCAGAUGGUUUCCUCAGCUACCAUCUGACUUAAAGUAGGUGGUGUUCCCUUAACAUAAAACAAGUGAACCUGAAGUGAAGAGAAAAGACAAAAUGUAAGAAUGCUACAGAGAAGAAAGAUACUAAUAGACCUAAAGAUCCAUUUCUUAAUUAUUUCCUACAAUCCUGGAGCUAUAAAAAGCCCAAGUGAAUUUGCGCUAUUUCACUCCCGGUCCUUGGUUGGUUGAUGGUUGUUUUUUCCACACACCUCCCGCUUCUCUUCUGUUGGGAUCAAGUCUCUAAUUCAUGCCCCUGUAUCCGGGGGUAGGAAGCUGAGCAGCUGGGACGUCCUCCCCUCUGGCUUCUGUCUAGGACCAGCCAAUGGGAGGCGAGCAGGAGACUGGAGGGAAGGCAGGAGAGCGGAAAGGUCUGAAGAACAUGUUCAUUGUCAUUGUUGUUUACUAAAAUGCUCCUGGUUUCAUAACUAAUAAAAAGUACUCACUAAAAUAGGAACAGAUGAAUACUUCUUUAACUUGAAAAAAAAAUACAGCUAGCUAGCAUUCUGCUUACUGGGAAAAUACUAGAAUCAGCCCACUGAAUUUAGGAACAAGAGAAGAAUACUCAUUAUCACUAUUACAAUUUUGCUGAAGGUACUAGCAGUCACAACUAGAUCUGAUAAAAACUUAAAGUAUGAAAAAAAGAAAAAACACUUUAACUAUUUGCAGAGGAUAUGACUGUAUGCUUUCUUUAAAAAAAAAAAAAAAGAUUUAUUUAUUUAUUUGAAAGUCAGAGUUACACAGAGAGAGGAGAGGCAGAAAGAGAGAGAGGUCUUCUACCCUCUGGUUCACUUCCCAAUGGGCCAAAACAGCCAGAGCUGCGCCGAACCGAAGCCAGGAGCCAGAAGCUUCUUCCAGAUCUCCCACACGGGUGCAGGGACCCAAGGACUUGGGCCAUCUUCUGCUGCUUUCCCAGGCCACAGCAGAGAGCUGGAUGGGAAGUGAAGCAGCCUGGACUCAAACCGGCACCCAUAUGGGAUGCCGACGCUUCAGGCCAAGGCGUUAACCCACUGCACCACAGCACCGGCCCCUGGUUAUAUGCUUUCAAAGCGAACACUCAACUAACAAAUUACUGUAAACUAUAAAACAGUUCCAUGAAAAGAUGUAAAUUAAUACCAGAAAGCAAUCAGUCUCAUAUAUGCAAGUAAAAACCUAUUCAAAUUUAUAAGGAUGAAGGGCCUUUUUAAAAUUAGCAGCAACAAAACAAAGAGAAAAACUCUAGGAAUACAUUUCAGAAGAAAUGCACAAGCCCUAUACAUAGAAAACAUUAAAACCAAAGAACCCCAAUUAGCAUUGACUAGGUAGAAAGACAUACUUGGGCAGGAAAAUUUGAAAGUGUUAAAAACCAAAUCUCUCUAGGUUAAUUUAAAAUUUUAAUGCAGUCCUCCGACCCCAAAGCAAACCAACUUCUGUUGAGCUUGAUAAGGUAAUUCUCAAAUAUACACUGAGGUCAGUAGGAUAAUAACCAGAAGAGAAAUAUGUAUCUCAGAGUGCCUAAUUGAGUCCUGGCUCUGCCUCCAAUUCCAGCUUCCUGCUAAUGCACCUGGGAGGCAGCAGGUGAUGACUCAAGUACUAGGGCCCCUGGACCCGCAUGGAGACCCGGGAAAGAAGCUUCUGGCUCCUGGCUUCGGAUCAGCUCAGCUCUGGACGUUGCAGCCAUUUGGGAAAUGAACCAGCGGAUGGAAGACCUCUCUCUCUCUCUCUGCCUCUCCUCUCUCUGUGUAACUCUGACUUUCAAAUAAAUAAAUAAAUCUUUUAAAAAAUCCAUAAGUUCAAUAAUUGUUUUAUGAGAUUGUAAAUUGAUGAGACACCAUGGAGGAAAAUUUUUCAAGACCCGUAAAUCUUGGGGCCGGUGCUAUGGCAUAGUGGGUAAAGCUGCCUCCUGCGGCACCAGCAUCCCAUAUGGGUUCCAGUUUGACUUCCAGCUGCUCCACUUCCACCCCAGCUCUCUGCUAAUGCACCUGGGUAAGCAGUGGAAGGUGGCCCAAAUGUUUAUGCUCCUGCACCCAGAUGGAAGACCCAGAAGAAGCUAUUGGCUCCUGGCUUUGGAUCAGCUCAGCUUUGGCUGUUGCAGCCAUUUGGGGAGUGAACCAGCAGAUGGAAGACCUUUCUCUCUGUCUCCCCCUCUCUGUAACUCCCACCUCUCAAAUAAAUAAAUAAAAUCUUCUAAAAAAUUAAAAAUUUAGGGGCCAGCAUUGUGGUAUGGCAAGUAAAGCCACUGCCUACAAUGCCAGUAUUCCAUAUGGGCACUAGUUUGUGUCUCAACUGCUCUACUUCUGAUCCAGCACCCUGCUAAUGUGCCUAGGAAAGCAAUGGAAGAUGGCCCAUGUGUUUGACCUGGAAAAAGCUGCUGGCUCCUGGCUUCAGCCUGACCAAGCCCUGGCCAUUUCUGCCAUCUGGGGAGUGAACCAACAGAUGGAAGAUCUUUCUCUCUCUCUCUUUCUCUCUCUAUAACUCUGACUUUCAAAUAAAUAAAUAAAUCUUUUUUAAAAAAUCAAAAUUAAAAAAUGACCUAGAUAUAUAGAUUAUUCAUUAUUUACAAUUGCAAGAUUAGAAAUAACCCAUUCUUGAUAUAAAACUAGUUUAAAUAAAUCAUAAUUCACUUAUUAAUAAAACAUGCAGCCAAUAUAAAAUAAAUACAUAGAAAAAGAAUAUAAUGUAUAUGUUCUAUAAUAUGGGAAAAAGUGGGAUUUUUUUCUUAAUUUGAGAGGCAAAGAGACAGGUGCAGGAAUAGAGCUCCUAUUUAUUGGUUCACUUCCUAAAUGCCUUCAAUGGCUGAAAUCAAGCUGGGAACUCAACCCAGAUCUAUAUGGGUAACAGGGGCUUAAAUGCUUGAGCUGUCACCUGCUGCCUCCCAUGGUCUACACUGGCAGGAAGCUAAAAUUAGGCUGUACAGCCAGGAGUUGAACGAAGGCACUCCAGUGCAAGAUGUUGGUGAUUUAACCAGCAUCUUUACCACUAGGCCAACCAUCUGCCCCCAAGAGAUUUUUAAUGAAAAAUACAAGGUAUAGAGCAACAUGCACUGUUGGCUACCUUGUGUGUGAAAAAGGAAAAUAUAGAAUAUAUAUUAGUAUUUAUUUGUAUUACAUAGACAAUCCUGUAGUGAUUUCAAGAACCCAGUAAGAGUGGACUGGGGGUAGAAAAAUGGAAAUGGAAGAUAGGAUAGGAAGAGAGACUUUUUACCUUUUGUAUUUUUUUAAUGUUUGAAUCAUAUAUAUGUAUUACUUAGUCAAAUAUUAAAUAUAAAAGAGUGCUUGUUUAAAAAUCAAAUGGUAUAGAGGAGUGAACCAGCAGAUGGAAGACUUCUCUCUCUCUGUGGCCCUGCCUCUCUCUGUAAGUCUAUCUUUCAAGUAAAUAAAUAAAUCUUUAAAAAAAGAAAUAUCAAAUGGUACGAAAGCCAAAUGGUUCAAUUCAUCCAACAGCACUGAUGGCUUUUUUUUUAAAGAUUUGUUUUUUAUUUAUUUGAAAGAUAGACUUACAGAGAGGCAGAGGCAGAGAGAAAGAGAGAGAGAGAGAGAGAGAGAGAGAGGUCUUCCAUUUGCUGGUUCAUUCUCCCAAAUGGCCACAACAACCAGAGCUGGGCCGAUCUGAAGCCAGGAGCCAAGAGCUGCCUCCGGGUCUCCCACGCAGGUGCAGGAGCCCAAGGAUUUCCCAGGCCAUAGAGAGAGCUGGAUCAGAAGCAGAGCAGCCGGGACUUGAACCAGCGCCCCCAUGAGAGGCCGACACUGCGGGCAGCAGCUUCACCCACAACGCCAUAGCUCCCACCCGUGACUGACCUUUAAU